rnacentral:rRNA from 1 species
UACGUAGGUGGCAAGCGUUGUCCGGAAUUAUUGGGCGUAAAGCGCGCGCAGGCGGCCUUUUAAGUCUGAUGUGAAAGCCCACGGCUCAACCGUGGAAGGUCAUUGGAGACUGAAAGGCUUGAGUACAGAAGAGGAAAGCGGAAUUCCACGUGUAGCGGUGAAAUGCGUAGAGAUGUGGAGGAACACCAGUGGCGAAGGCGGCUUUCUGGUCUGUAACUGACGCUGAGGCGCGAAAGCGUGGGGAGCAAACAGG